rnacentral:rRNA from 1 species
AGUGAACGCUGGCGGUAGGCCUACACAUGGCAAUUCAACCGCAACCCCAUAAGAAGCUUGUCCUUCGGGGGGCGGGUGGGGGGCGGGGGGGGGAAAACACGGAAACCACUUUUUCGGGGGGGGUAAAGUAGGGGAACCUACGGCAAUUACGCAUACCAACCUCGGGGGAAAAGAGGGGGACCUUGGAACCUGCGGCGAUUGAUUGAGCGAUGUCGGAUUAGCUAGUUGGCGGGGUAAAGGCCCACCAAGGCGACGAUCCGUAGCUGGUCUGAGAGGAUGAUCAGCCACACUGGAACUGAGACACGGUCCAGACUCCUACGGGAGGCAGCAGUGGGGAAUAUUGGACAAUGGGCGCAAGCCUGAUCCAGCCAUACCGCGUGGGUGAAGAAGGCCUUCGGGUUGUAAAGCCCUUUUGUUGGGAAAGAAAAGCAGCAGGUUAAUACCCCGCUGUUCUGACGGUACCCAAAGAAUAAGCACCGGCUAACUUCGUG